CAGCACCUCAAGUGGUCAGGAUGAUUAUUGGGCCUAAAGCAUCCGUAGCCGGCGCUGUAAGUUUUCGGGUAAAUCUGUACGCUCAACGUACAGGCUGCCGGGAAUACUGCAGCGCUAGGGAGUGGGAGAGGUAGACGGUACUCGGUAGGAAGGGGUAAAAUCCUUUGAUCUAUUGAUGACCACCUGUGGCGAAGGCGGUCUACCAGAACACGUCCGACGGUGAGGGAUGAAAGCUGGGGGAGCAAACCGGAUUAGAUACCCGAGUAGUCC
rnacentral:rRNA from 1 species